GACGAAGGGGGCUAGCGUUGUUCGGAAUUACUGGGCGUAAAGCGCGUGUAGGCGGUUGUCCAAGUCGGGUGUGAAAGCCUUGAGCUCAACUCAAGAAAUGCACUCGAUACUGGGCGACUCGAGUGCCGGAGAGGAUAGUGGAAUUCCCAGUGUAGUGGUGAAAUACGUAGAGAUUGGGAAGAACACCAGUGGCGAAGGCGGCUAUCUGGACGGUUACUGACGCAAAGACGCGAAAGCGUGGGGAGCAAACAGG
rnacentral:rRNA from 1 species